GACGAACGCUGGCGGCGUGCUUAACACAUGCAAGUCGAACGGAAAGGCCCUGCUUUUGUGGGGUGCUCGAGUGGCGAACGGGUGAGUAACACGUGAGUAACCUGCCCUUGACUUUGGGAUAACUUCAGGAAACUGGGGCUAAUACCGGAUAGGAGCUCCUGCUGCAUGGUGGGGGUUGGAAAGUUUCGGCGGUUGGGGAUGGACUCGCGGCUUAUCAGUUUGUUGGUGGGGUAGUGGCUUACCAAGGCUUUGACGGGUAGCCGGCCUGGGAGGGUGAUCGGCCACAAUGGGACUGAGAUACGGCCCAGACUCCAACGGGAGGCAGCAGUGGGGAAUAUGGCACAAUGGGCGGAAGCCUGAUGCAGCAACGCCGCGUGCGGGAUGACGGCCUUCGGGUUGUAAACCGCUUUCGCCUGUGACGAAGCGUGAGUGACGGUAAUGGGUAAAGAAGCACCGGCUAACUACGUG
rnacentral:rRNA from 1 species